rnacentral:tRNA from 1 species
ACCUGGCUGGCUCAGUCAGAAGAGCAUGAGACUCUUGAUCUUGGGGUUGUGAGUUCAAGCCCCACAUUGGGUU